GGAGUUGUGGCUCAGAGGUAGAGUGCUUGCCUAAAAUGCAUGAGGCACUGGGUUUGAUCCUCAGCACCA
rnacentral:tRNA from 1 species